rnacentral:rRNA from 1 species
AGAUUGAACGCUGGCGGCAGGCCUAACACAUGCAAGUCGAACGGCAGCACGGUAAGAGCUUGCUCUUAUGGGUGGCGAGUGGCGGACGGGUGAGGAAUACAUCGGAAUCUACCUUUUGGUGGGGGAUAACGUAGGGAAACUUACGCUAAUACCGCAUACGCCCUUCGGGGAAAGCCGGGACCAGCAAUGGCCUGGCGCUGAUAGAUGAGCCGAUGUCGGAUUAGCUAGUUGGUGAGG